rnacentral:rRNA from 1 species
AACGAACGCUGGCGGCAUGCCUAACACAUGCAAGUCGAACGAGACCUUCGGGUCUAGUGGCGCACGGGUGCGUAACGCGUGGGAACCUGCCCUUAGGUUCGGAAUAACUCCCGAAAGGGGUGCUAAUACCGGAUAAUGUCUUCGGACCAAAGAUUUAUCGCCUUUGGAUGGGCCCGCGUUGGAUUAGCUAGUUGGUAGGGUAAAAGCCUACCAAGGCGACGAUCCAUAGCUGGUCUGAGAGGAUGAUCAGCCACACUGGGACUGAGACACGGCCCAGACUCCUACGGGAGGCAGCAGUGGGGAAUAUUGGACAAUGGGCGAAAGCCUGAUCCAGCAAUGCCGCGUGAGUGAUGAAGGCCUUAGGGUUGUAAGGCUCUUUUACCCGGGAUGAUAAUGACAGUACCGGGAGAAUAAGCUCCGGCUAACUCCGUG